rnacentral:rRNA from 1 species
UACGGAGGAUGCGAGCGUUAUUCGGAUUUAUUGGGUUUAAAGGGUGCGCAGGCGGAGGUGCAAGUCAGCGGUCAAAUUGCGGGGCUCAACCCCGUACUGCCGUUGAAACUGGCGGGCUGGAGUUGGAGAGAAGUACGCGGAAUGCGCGGUGUAGCGGUGAAAUGCUUAGAUAUCGCGCAGAACCCCGAUUGCGAAGGCAGCGUACCGGCUCCACACUGACGCUGAGGCACGAAAGCGUGGGUAUCGAACAGG